rnacentral:lncRNA from 1 species
UACAGCAACUGCUGCAGUAUCACAAUAGGUUACCAAAAGCAGUGAAACAAGUCGGCUUUUCAUUAAAGAUAUUGGUUUUAAAAUUGAACAUCAUUGGCAAAAUGCUUACAAAAUUAGGCUAUGCUUGGCUCCUCGGUGCUGUAA